CCUACGGGAGGCAGCAGUGGGGAAUAUUGCACAAUGGGGGAAACCCUGAUGCCGCGACGCCGCGUGAAGGAAGAAGUAUUUCGGUAUGUAAACUUCUAUCUGCAGGGAAGAAAAUGACGGUACCUGACUACGAAGCCCCGGCUAACUACGUGCCAGCUGACUCGGUACUAAGCACGGGGCCAGCGUUAUCCGGAUUUUCUGGGUGUAAAGGGGGCGUAGGCGGUUUAGCAAGUCAGAAGGUAAAGGCCGGGGCUCAACUCUGGGACUGCUUUUGAAACUGUUGAACUUGAUUGCAGGAGAGGUAAGUGGAAUUCGUGGUGUAGCGGUGAAAUGCGUAGAUAUCAGGAAGAACACCAGUGGCGAAGGCAGCUGACUGGACUGUAAAUGACGCUGAGGCUCGAAAGCGGGGGGAGCAAACAGGAUUAGAUACCCGGGUAGUC
rnacentral:rRNA from 1 species